UUGUACCCACGGCCAUUGUGCGGUUCAGAGGCUCUGGUCUUUACCAGAGCCUCUGAACCGCGCAAAGGCCCUGGGUACAA